AUUAUUACUAUUAUUAUUAUUAUCCUUAACUUUGGCUUUCUAUUGUCUAGCCAUCAUAACUAUUUACUAACAGAUGUCUCAAGUUGUAAAAAAAUGAAUUGAUAGGUAAUACUCAUCACUCAUAUUGAAUAGACAACUGAAGGAUUAACAUCCAAAAAUGUGAAUCACAUACAAUUGCCAAGUUUGUAACUUGAAGAAAAGUUAUAAGUUCAAUGAAGCUGUUGACAACCAACCCACCAAAAAAAGUGGCACUCAGCAUAAUGAUUUCAUCUUUUGCUGUUUUUCUUUGCCAUGCGAACCUAUUGACUGUAAAAUCAAG
rnacentral:misc_RNA from 1 species